rnacentral:rRNA from 1 species
CGUGCCUUUAGGUUCGGAAUAGCUCCUGGAAACGGGUGGUAAUGCCGAAUGUGCCCUUCGGGGGAAAGAUUUAUCGCCUUUAGAGCGGCCCGCGUCUGAUUAGCUAGUUGGUGAGGUAAUGGCUCACCAAGGCGACGAUCAGUAGCUGGUCUGAGAGGAUGACCAGCCACAUUGGGACUGAGACACGGCCCAAACACAUACGGGAGGCAGCAGUGGGGAAUCUUGCGCAAUGGGCGAAAGCCUGACGCAGCCAUGCCGCGUGAAUGAUGAAGGUCUUAGGAUUGUAAAAUUCUUUCACCGGGGACGAUAAUGACGGUACCCGGAGAAGAAGCCCCGGCUAACUUCGUGCCAGCAGCCGCGGUAAUACGAAGGGGGCUAGCGUUGCUCGGAAUUACUGGGCGUAAAGGGCGCGUAGGCGGACAUUUAAGUCAGGGGUGAAAUCCCAGAGCUCAACUCUGGAACUGCCUUUGAUACUGGGUGUCUUGAGUGUGAGAGAGGUAUGUGGAACUCCGAGUGUAGAGGUGAAAUUCGUAGAUAUUCGGAAGAACACCAGUGGCGAAGGCGACAUACUGGCUCAUUACUGACGCU